rnacentral:tRNA from 1 species
GGAGAGAUGGCCGAGUGGUUCAUGGCUCUGGUCUCGAAAACCGGUAUAGUUUACCAGUACUAUCGAGGGUUCGAAUCCCUCUCUCUCCC